AGAGUUCGAUCCUGGCUCAGGAUGAACGCUGGCGGCGCGCCUAACACAUGCAAGUCGAACGGUUAAAGCCCCUUCGGGGGUGCAUAGAGUGGCGAACGGCUGAGUAACACGUGGGCAACCUGCCCCCCGCACCGGGACAGCCUCGGGAAACCGUGGUUAAUACCGGAUACUCCGCCACCCCCGCAUGGGGGCGGCGGGAAAGCCCAGGCGGAGGGGGAUGGGCCCGCGGCCUGUUAGCUCGUUGGCGGGGUAACGGCCCACCAAGGCGAUGAUGGGUAGCCGGGUUGAGAGACCGACCGGCCAGAUUGGGACUGAGACACGGCCCAGACUCCUACGGGAGGCAGCAGUGGGGAAUCUUGCACAAUGGGCGAAAGCCUGAUGCAGCGACGCCGCGUGCGGGACGAAGGCCUUCGGGUCGUAAACCGCUUUCAGCAGGGACGAGGCCGAAAGGUGACGGUACCUGCAGAAGAAGCCCCGGCUAACUACGUGCCAGCAGCCGCGGUAAUACGUAGGGGGCGAGCGUUAUCCGGAUUCAUUGGGCGUAAAGCGCGCGCAGGCGGCCUGCUCGGUCGGGAGUCAAAUCCGGGGGCUCAACCCCCGCCCGCUCCCGAUACCGGCGGGCUUGAGUCUGGUAGGGGAAGGCGGAAUUCCCAGUGUAGCGGUGGAAUGCGCAGAUAUUGGGAAGAACACCGGUGGCGAAGGCGGCCUUCUGGGCCACGACUGACGCUGAGGCGCGAAAGCUAGGGGAGCGAACAGGAUUAGAUACCCUGGUAGUCCUAGCCGUAAACGAUGGACACUAGGUGUGGGGGGAGGAUCCCUCCGUGCCGCAGCCAACGCAUUAAGUGUCCCGCCUGGGGAGUACGGCCGCAAGGCUAAAACUCAAAGGAAUUGACGGGGGCCC
rnacentral:rRNA from 1 species